AUAAUUAUGUUUUGUUAUCAUUCUUACAUUGGUAGCUAUAAUAGAUUUAAUAUUCACAUCCCUGAGAAAAGCUCUCAUACUUGUUAGACUUUGGAGCUGCAGCUGUGUACAGACCUUGAAGCUGCAGCCACUUGUAUCUUCGGGAUACUCCUAUCUGCCUCCCUCCACAUUCCUUUUCUACUAUCUACUUUGUAAUAAAAGAGAAAGCCCUAACAAAGGGUCUUCAGAGCGCUCGGUGAACGGCUGGAAGCAGCGGUUUGCUGGGUUCUCUCCUUUUGCAAAAGCUUUCAUAAAAUUCACUUGCGUUGUCUGUUUGUUCUUUUAUCUAGAUUCACAAAUACCUAUCAUUUUGGUGCCGUGACCCGGAUCUCUAAGAGCCGUCACUGACAGGCAGAAAGGACACGCUGAAAACCGUGCACGGCCAGAGUCAAUAGGACCUGGAAAGAAAGACCCGGGAAUUGAAUUCUUCGCCAGGCCAGCGACCUAGGUCCGACUUUGUCUGCCGGUGGCGGGUUGACGAGAUCCGACCGAACAGAACGGGCCGACAGAAAGCCAUGGACAUUGAGUGAGGGACAGUCUGGGCAACUCAAAGAUCCAAUACAGAACCAGUUGACAGAAAACUGCAGAGAGAGAGGAGGAGAGGACCACGCUGCAGCGACGCCAGCAGCAGGAGGAGGAGGGAGAAGUGAGCUCAUCCAAGAUAAGUGUUAUACACAUACACAACUGUUAUACACUGCAACUGCAAUGAAGACUUGCUUGCUUUAUAACCCUGUUCACAUAUUAUCUAGCCAGAAAAUAAAGUCUUAACAGCUUUUGAUGAUAGACACAUUCUCUCAGUUUGUCCCUUUUAACUCUGAGUCCUGAACAGCAGGGCCACUGCUAAGGAUCCUCUUAGGGUCCAUGAGCCACAGAUUGGGAAACCGUGAAGGGAAAACUGCAAUCGCUAAAAGAUCAGCAAAGAACUAAUGGAAAUUAUGCCACUAAAUUACACCAGCUAAAAAUGAUCAAAGAUUCUAAGAUAAUAAUUAUUUACAAAAGUUUUCUUUUUCUUUUUUUUUUUUUAGGACUAUCUUGAUAAUACAUGCUAGAGUGGAUUUAAAAUCUAAUAUCUCUGAAUGUUAAAAUAAAUAAAUAAGAAAUAAAUGAAAUAAUAUUCAUUUGAACAGUUAUGAAUCUACAUUUUAUUGAAAUUGGUGAAGUGUUUCAGCAGCAGGAAAUUCAGUUGUGGCUGGUUUCCAACACGUCUGAGAUAGCUCUUAAAAUGUAUACAUUACUUAAAAGAAGAUUCUGACAACUAAAGAUAAAUAUUAACACAUUGAAAUGUUGUUGACAAAUAAAAAAAAUUCUUGAAGCUUCAGAAAAUUGUAUAACCAUUUGAGCAAAGGAAAACAAUGAAAGCAGACUAUAAUUUUGUGGCUGAAAAUCUGAUUCAUUUUCAUGUUUCUGUUUGUGUCACAUUACGUUGAUGGAAAUGAGUGUGAUUAUUGGAACAAACAGAUUGCACUCAAGAACUGAGUAACUGAUCAAAUUAUCAUUUAAAUCAUAAAAAUUACAUUGUCAACUGGUCUGAAAUGCAAGGUUAAAUUAAAUUGUUAUAUUUUAUCUAACUAGUUACUCCAAAUUGAUGUUUUUGAAUAAACAUAAUGUUUUCUAGAUAACGCUUAAAACCUUUAAUCCAAGGUUGAUUGAUUGAUGAUCAUUAAAUUCAUAAAGGAAUAUUGAAUUAGAGGAUUUGAGAUUUUGGCUUAAUUUCAGAAUGGUAAUUUUCAUGUAAAAGGGUAAUAACAUUGUUCUGCAGCAGAGCCAACUCUGGGUUGUGCCUUCUGUCAGGAGUAAAACAAAAGUGCUUCACCUUGAUGAAUUUGAUAACAUCCAUAUGUACGAUCUUUAACAAAAUGCCUCUUUGCUAACAGCUAUCCUUCAAGCAAUAUAACUGUUAGCUAAAACUAGCAGGGUGCAAAAUGGAUGAGGAAAUCUUUCAAGUCAAUAACAAACCAGUUCUCCCAAAGUCUUUAUCUAAAGCAGCCGCAAUUGUGGCACAUGGGCGAUGCCAUGUGUCAACAGGGGGAAUAGUGGGGAUUAUACUACAGUAUUUCACAACAUAUGGACUAAAUUCUUAUCUAAAAAUUUUUGUUCUGCAUACUUUGUGUUAGACACAAUCCACAAGGGAACACAAGGCCAAAAAGAGGAACUUUCCCAAAACCUUCUUAUCCAUUUCAAACAAUGCAAACAAAUAUUGUUUGGUAAUUAUUGAUGCUUUUUCUAAAUGGGUUGAAAUAGUUCUAGCAAAGCAUCCAGAUGCUUUGACAGUAGCUAAAGCUUAUGUAAAACUAUUAUUCCAAUACCACAAACCAUUUAUACUGAAAAUUAGAUUAAAGAAAAUGUAUGGAACACCGUGGUUAAAAUGUUUAGAUUUGGUAAAGUUGUACACACACAAGAAUUACACCCACACAAGAAGGAUUAACACCAUUUGAAAUAAUUCAUGGAAGACCAUACAGAUUACCAAUAUUUUCUCCAGAUUUGCAACAUGCAGAUGAGGAGCAAACACUGGCAGAUUACAUGAUCAGGACUCUGAAACUGAUGGAAGUGUCAAAUGCAAAUUUACUGCCCUCUGACUCUCCUCUCCCGCAGGAAACCACUCCCACCAAGCCAGGAGACUGGGCGUUUAUCAAAGUCAUAAAGAGGAAGAGCUGGGCCAGCCCACGGUGGGAGGGACUAUUCUAAGUGCUGAUAACAACUCCAACUGCUGUAAAGAUUGCUGAACGACCCAGCUGGAUUCAUCUCAGUCACUGUAAGUUGAAGAGAGUGUUGGAAGCCUAGGUGGGAGCAGGUGGGAGUCCACCUUCACAGGGGUUUGGCUUUUUAGGGUCACUCGUCUCAACGGUGGUGAAGAAAUCAUCAACCCCCUGUUCUAUAGAGUCCUAGGUAACUUCUAACAUCUCUGUAAUCUGAGCAGCAAUGGGAUUCUCACAGGCCAGGUGGAAUCUCUUCUGCGCUGUGACUGCAGCAUGUUUUUUGUUCUGGAGUGGAAGCUGCCUCAGCCUCCACAAGAUAAGGAGAGAAGCACAAACACUCUUCCCCAAGUCUCAUCCACAUGACUACAGCACUAACCUGUGGUGGCAACUAAUGAACAGGACUGCUCACGAGGUGAACUGCUAUGUGUGUGCACAGCUGCCCUACGCCACACACAACUCAGGCCUUCGACCAGGUAACAUCACUGAUGACAAACAGAUGUGUCUCUAUGGCCUGAGCACACACCCACGGUACAGCAUCCCCACACCAAAGGGAUGCAGAUGGUGCAAAAAGGACUAUUCUUUUUCACUUCGGACAGGAGCUGCCGCUAAAGGACUUUUUGGAGCUAUGAACUGUUCACUUGCUGCUGAUGUUCUUCCAUUUCCACAGACUGUGAUGAAAAUACCAGAGAUCAUUCCUUGGCAGGGGCCAAACCAGGAUCUCUCAGGAGCUGCAUUUACAACAAUGGACCUACAACACUAGGAAUGCUCCCAUGGAACCUGUGUAACACAGUUUACACCUUCUGCGAAACAACACCGGAAUACAUCGACUGCAUCGCCUGCAGAGGUCAGGAGCCAACCCCAGAACACAGCAUCUGGAACGACAAUCCAAACUGUCACAAUUUGCUUCAGGAAAGGAGGUUCGACGUUCGACAUCACUCAGCAGACGAGAGGACGACAGGAGAAAGCUCGUUGCAGCGCCAUAGUGCCAGGAGACUAUGGUUCACGGGUGAUGGCUGACUGGUACUUCCUGUGUGGAGAUGGAGCUUACAUGUUUUUGAAAACUGUGUUGUGUUGGCUUUUCUCACAACCUCUCAAGGAAGCGUCUGCAAGAUCAUAGGUUCAACAUGAGAUGAAAGAGCAACUGUUGGAACUAUUCAUGAUGCCCUGCAUGAUUUGGAAGAGCUUAAGAACUAUGUGGACAGUGCAACUCAGGGCUCACAAACUUUUGACUUUCUUUCUUGGCUGACCUCUAGACUCUGGUGGCAGCUUUUGGUUAACAUUGGAACACCCAUCUUGACUGGACUGAUCCUAUUCUGUCUGUUCACAACCUGCCUCAUUUCAUGUUUUCAAAGCAUGCUGUUAAAGACAUUUAACACUGCUCUGCUCAGCUAUCAGUUGGUCAGGGUAACCUCUGACACAGAUGAGGACUACAUGUUGCUCCAGAAGAAAGAAGAUGACUGGAAAACGAGUACAUAUGAUGAUGUCUUGUAAAUUAAUAAACAGAUUCAAUCAUUUGCUUGAUGACUCCGACACUGAAAAUGUGAAAACAAAUGGUGUUAGUGAUGAUAACUGCACUUGAUUUUCUGCUGUUUGUUAGUUUCUGGGUUGUUGUUUUUUUUCUGUGUUCUCAUUCUUACAUUCAACAUUAUUAUUUUAUUAACAAAACAUUAUAUGCAUUUGGUUUUUAAUGUUUCUUUUAUAUUUCUUUUUUCUAUCCUUCUUAUAUUAUAUAUUAUGUAUUCUACAACUCUUGUAUAACAUGUGUCAUCCAUUCUUUUUCUUUUUAUACUAUUUUUUGCAUAGUUAUUACGUAAGAAUUAUAAACACGGGGGAAUGUUAGAAUAAUUAUGUUUUGUUAUCAUUCUUACAUUGGUAGCUAUAAUAGAUUUAAUAUUCACAUCCCUGAGAAAAGCUCUCAUACUUGUUAGACUUUGGAGCUGCAGCUGUGUACAGACCUUGAAGCUGCAGCCACUUGUAUCUUCGGGAUACUCCUAUCUGCCUCCCUCCACAUUCCUUUUCUACUAUCUACUUUGUAAUAAAAGAGAAAGCCCUAACAAAGGGUCUUCAGAGCGCUCGGUGAACGGCUGGAAGCAGCGGUUUGCUGGGUUCUCUCCUUUUGCAAAAGCUUUCAUAAAAUUCA